rnacentral:rRNA from 1 species
UUUUGGACAAUGGACGCAAGUCUGAUCCAGCCAUUCCGCGUGCAGGACGAAGGCCUUCGGGUUGUAAACUGCUUUUGUACGGACCGAAAAAGCUCUUAUUAAUACUAGGAGUCCAUGACGGUACCGUAAGAAUAAGCACCGGCUAACUACGUGCCAGCAGCCGCGGUAAUACGUAGGGUGCAAGCGUUAAUCGGAAUUACUGGGCGUAAAGCGUGCGCAGGCGGUUAUAUAAGACAGAUGUGAAAUCCCCGAGCUUAACUUGGGAACUGCAUUUGUGACUGUAUAGCUAGAGUACGGCAGAGGGGGAUGGAAUUCCGCGUGUAGCAGUGAAAUGCGUAGAUAUGCGGAGGAACACCGAGGCGAAGGCAAUCCCCUGGGCCUGUACUGACGCUCAUGCACGAA